rnacentral:tRNA from 1 species
AAAAAGAUAAGUUAAUUAAACUACUGGGUUCAUACCUCACCUAUAAAGGUAAAAUCCUUUUCUUUUUA